rnacentral:rRNA from 1 species
AUGUUCAGGAAAAUUCUGCUGUAUGUCGAAUUGCUCGGCGAGGAGAAGAUUGCCGCCAAAGUGAAGUACUUGAAGAGCACCUUCGGCUGGUCGGAUGCUGAGGUGGGCAUUGCUUUGUCCAAGGAUCCGUCUGUGCUGAGGAGGUCAAAGAACAUGCUUCAGCGCAGAUCCGAGCUCCUUCUCUCUGAGUUGGGGUUGGAGCCGGCCUACAUUGCUCAUCGACCGGCAAUGCUCACUUACAGCCUGGAGGGCCCGCUCAGACCCCGCUACUGUGUUAUGAAAUUUCUUAAGGAAAAUGGGUUGCUAGUGCACAGCCAUAGCUACUACUCCCCAUUGAUUUUGACUGAGAACGUAUUCAUGGAGAAGUACAUAUGCCCUCACAUGGAAACUGCACCACACCUUGCUGAAGACUACGCUGCCGCCUGC